rnacentral:rRNA from 1 species
GUAAGGAAUAUUGGUCAAUGGACGCAAGUCUGAACCAGCCAUGCCGCGUGGAGGAUGAAGGUCCUCUGGAUUGUAAACUUCUUUUAUCUGGGACGAAAAAAGGGAAUUCUUUCUCGUCUGACGGUACCAGAUGAAUAAGCACCGGCUAACUCCGUGCCAGCAGCCGCGGUAAUACGGAGGGUGCAAGCGUUAUCCGGAUUCACUGGGUUUAAAGGGUGCGUAGGCGGGUAUGUAAGUCCGUGGUGAAAUCUCCGUGCUUAACUCGGAAACUGCCAUGAGUACUGCAUAUCUUGAAUGUUGUGGAGGUGAGCGGAAUAUGUCAUGUAGCGGUGAAAUGCUUAGAUAUGACAUAGAACACCAAUUGCGAAGGCAGCUCACUACACAAAUAUUGACGCUGAGGCACGAAAGCGUGGGGAUCAAACAGGAUUAGAUACCCGUGUAGUCC